GUGUCAGCAGCCGCGGUAAUACGGAGGGUGCGAGCGUUGUUCGGAAUUAUUGGGCGUAAAGCGCGUGUAGGCGGCUCCUUAAGUCUGAUGUGAAAGCCCCGGGCUCAACCUGGGAAGUGCAUUGGAAACUGGGGAACUUGAAUACGGGAGAGGGUAGUGGAAUUCCUGGUGUAGGAGUGAAAUCCGUAGAUAUCAGGAGGAACACCGGUGGCGAAGGCGGCUACCUGGACCGAUAUUGACGCUGAGACGCGAAAGCGUGGGGAGCAAACAGGAUUAGAUACCCUGGUAGUCCACGCCGUAAACGAUGAGUACUAGGUGUUGCGGGUAUUGACCCCUGCAGUGCCGCAGCUAACGCAUUAAGUACUCCGCCUGGGAAGUACGGUCGCAAGACUAAA
rnacentral:rRNA from 1 species